AAUCUAUGAUAUGGGCACCAUCUAAGAAAGUCUUUGAAUCAUUCAUGCACCUCAAAUAGAGUUUCUAAGUCUCUUUGCUUAAAUACUGAGAUCUCUUACCUGAUCUU